UACGGAGGAUGCAAGCGUUAUCCGGAAUGAUUGGGCGUAAAGGGUCCGCAGGUGGCAGUGUAAGUCUGCUGUCAAAGAAUGAGGCUUAACCUCAUCAAGGCAGUGGAAACUACACAGCUAGAGUACGGUCGGGGUAGAAGGAAUUCCUGGUGUAGCGGUGAAAUGCGUAGAGAUCAGGAAGAACACCGGUGGCGAAAGCGUGCUGCUAGACCUGUACUGACACUGAGGGACGAAAGCUAGGGGAGCGAACAGG
rnacentral:rRNA from 1 species